UCUAUAACUACAAUGAGAAUCUUUUCUUUUUAAAAUCUUCUAAAAAUAAAAAACCUUCUAAUGUAGGGGUUCUUAUUUUCAGAGCAUGAACGUGUUAAACAUGAAAAAGCUGCCUCUCAGACAAAGCCAGAGGAGAAAAUGAAACAACCAAAGACUAUUCCCACUGAGAAGUCAGAGCAUGAAGCAGUCAGACAUGAAAAAGAUGUCCCCCUUACAAAACCAGGUAAGCACGCCUGCAUUUUAUUUUGCAUAUUUAUUUUGAAAAUAUUAUUUAAAGAAAUAGUGAAAUACAAUUGCAUAUGACAAAUGUCAAAACCAUUGUCCUGUGAUCUAUUUUGAUGUAUGGAAUGGCCCUGACAUGCCAUACCACAAACUGAAUAGCCCAGUACAUACUUGUAAUGCUGCUCAUCAUUUUAAGAUAUAGAUAUAUGUACACA
rnacentral:lncRNA from 1 species